rnacentral:rRNA from 1 species
UGGGGAAUCUUGGGCAAUGGGCGAAAGCCUGACCCAGCAACGCCGCGUGAAGGAUGAAGUAUUUCGGUAUGUAAACUUCGAAAGAAUAGGAAGAAUAAAUGACGGUACUAUUUAUAAGGUCCGGCUAACUACGUGCCAGCAGCCGCGGUAAUACGUAGGGACCAAGCGUUGUUCGGAUUUACUGGGCGUAAAGGGCGCGUAGGCGGCAAUUCAAGUCAUCUGUGAAAUCUCCGGGCUUAACUCGGAACGGUCAGAUGAUACUGCUUUGCUAGAGUGCAGAAGGGCAAUCGGAAUUCUUGGUGUAGCGGUGAAAUGCGUAGAUAUCAAGAGGAACACCUGAGGUGAAGACGGGUUGCUGGGCUGACACUGACGCUGAGGCGCGAAAGCCAGGGGAGCAAACGGGAUUAGAUACCCCGGUAGUCCCUGAGCGGGCUGGCAAGGCGCAU